CGUAGGACCCAAGCGUUGUCCGGAUUCACUGGGUAUAAAGGGUGCGUAGGCGGUCUUGUGCGUCAGAGGUGAAAUAUCCGGGCUUAACCCGGAGGGUGCCUUUGAUACGGCAGGACUUGAGUGCGAGAGAGGAUGAUGGAAUUCCUGGUGUAGCGGUGAAAUGCGUAGAUAUCAGGAGGAACACCGGUGGCGAAGGCGGUCAUCUGGCUCGUAAACUGACGCUGAGGCACGAAAAGCGCGGGGAUCAAAACAGGAUUAGAUACCCUGGUAGUCCGCGCCCUAAACGAAUGUAUGCUUGGUGUUGGUUCCGCAAGGAAUCAGUGCCGUAGGGAAUCUGAUAAAGCAUACCACCUGGGGAGUACGAUCGCAAAGGUUG
rnacentral:rRNA from 1 species